rnacentral:rRNA from 1 species
GACGAACGCUGGCGGCGUGCUUAACACAUGCAAGUCGAGCGGUAAGGCCCUUUCGGGGGUACACGAGCGGCGAACGGGUGAGUAACACGUGGGUGACCUGCCCUCAGCUCUGGGAUAAGCCUGGGAAACCGGGUCUAAUACUGGAUAUGACUCCAUGACGCAUGUUGGUGGGGUGGAAAGCCUUGUGCGGCUGAGGAUGGGCCCGCGGCCUAUCAGCUUGUUGGUGGGGUGAGGCCUACCAAGGCGACGACGGGUAGCCGGCCUGAGAGGGCGACCGGCCACACUGGGACUGAGACACGGCCCAGACUCCUACGGGAGGCAGCAGUGGGGAAUCUUGCGCAAUGGGCGAAAGCCUGACGCAGCGACGCCGCGUGAGGGAUGACGGCCUGGU